GACGAACGCUGGCGGCGUGCUUAACACAUGCAAGUGGAGCGACGAACCGGGGCUUGCCCCGGGGCAGAGCCGCGAACGGGUGAGUAACACGUGGGUUACCUGCCCCAAUGACCGGGACAACCCGAGGAAACUCGGGCUAAUACCGGAUGUGGUCUUCGGACGAAAGGAAGCUUCGGCCUCCGCAUUGGGAUGGGCCCGCGGCGCAUUAGCUAGUUGGUGGGGUAACGGCCUACCAAGGCGACGAUGCGAGCUGGUCUGAGAGGACGAUCAGCCACACUGGGACUGAGACACGGCCCAGACUCCUACGGGAGGCAGCAGUGGGGAAUCUUGCGCAAUGCGCGAAAGCGUGACGCAGCAACGCCGCGUGGGGGAAGAAGGCC
rnacentral:rRNA from 1 species